CCUCGGAUCAGGUAGU
rnacentral:rRNA from 1 species